rnacentral:rRNA from 1 species
UACGGAGUGUGCAAGCGUUACUCGGAAUCACUGGGCAUAAAGGGCGUGUAGGCGGGCUUUCAAGUCGGUUGUGAAAUCCCUCAGCUCAACUGAGGAACUGCAUCCGAUACUGUUUGUCUUGAGGACGAGAGGGGAGAGUGGAACUUCUGGUGGAGCGGUGAAAUGCGUAGAUAUCAGAAGGAACGCCGGUGGCGAAGGCGGCAUCCUGGACCGGUAUUGACGCUGAGGCGCGAAAGCCAGGGGAGCAAACGGG